UAGGGAAUCUUCGGCAAUGGGGGGAACCCUGACCGAGCAACGCCGCGUGAGUGAAGAAGGUUUUCGGAUCGUAAAGUUCUGUUGCAGGGGAAGAUAAUGACGGUACCCUGUGAGGAAGCCCCGGCUAACUACGUGCCAGCAGCCGCGGUAAUACGUAGGGGGCUAGCGUUAUCCGGAUUUACUGGGCGUAAAGGGUGCGUAGGUGGUCUUUCAAGUCGGUGGUUAAAGGCUACGGCUCAACCGUAGUUAGCCUCCGAAACUGGAAGACUUGAGUGCAGGAGAGGAAAGUGGAAUUCCCAGUGUAGCGGUGAAAUGCGUAGAUAUUGGGAGGAACACCAGUAGCGAAGGCGGCUUUCUGGACUGCAACUGACACUGAGGCACGAAAGCGUGGGUAGCAAACAGG
rnacentral:rRNA from 1 species